CGGGAGGUGAGUAAUGCUUGGGAAUCUGGCUUAUGGAGGGGGAUAACUACGGGAAACUGUAGCUAAUACCGCGUAGUAUCGGAAGAUGAAAGUGCGGGACCGUAAGGCCGCAUGCCAUGAGAUGAGCCCAAGUGGGAUUAGGUAGUUGGUGGGGUAAGGGCCUACCAAGCCUGCGAUCCCUAGCUGGUCUGAGAGGAUGGCCAGCCACACUGGAACUGAGACACGGUCCAG
rnacentral:rRNA from 1 species